rnacentral:rRNA from 1 species
AACGAACGCUGGCGGCAGGCCUAACACAUGCAAGUCGAACGCCCCCUUCGGGGGGAGUGGCGCACGGGUGAGUAACGCGUGGGAACCUGCCCUUUGGUCUGGAAUAACCCUGGGAAACUAGGGCUAAAACCGGAUACGCCCCUUGGUCGCGAGAUUGAGGGGGAAAGUUUACGCCGAAGGAGGAGCCCGCGUCCGAUUAGCUAGUUGGUGAGGUAAGAGCUUACCAAGGCUUCGAUCGGUAGCUGGUCUGAGAGGACGAUCAGCCACACUGGGACUGAGACACGGCCCAGACUCCUACGGGAGGCAGCAGAGGGGAAUAUUGGACAAUGGGCGCAAGCCUGAUCCAGCCAUGCCGCGUGAGUGAUGAAGGCCUUCGGGUUGUAAAGCUCUUUUGGCGGGGACGAUGAUGACGGUACCCGCAGAAUAAGCCCCGGCAAACUUCGUGCCAGCCGCCGCGGUAAGAC